AGCCACACCUGAUUGGGGAGUAUAUGGUGCAGAUCCGAGAUGCAUAUUUUUACUGAAUCAUGUUUGUUUUCAGUUCAGGGAUUGCUGAUGAUAGGUUUGACUUCGAUCCAAGCUCUUCAAAAUUGCUAGGAGGAAAUGGGAAGAUUGCAAAAGGUCCAAUCAUCUUAUGCUGGCAGGACGCGAGAAUCGAAAAGAUGAUGAACAUGUGCUGAAGUUUGUUGAACAACACAAGUUAGAGCACCAAGCAAGAAGGCACCAAUUUCACCACAAGCAGAAAUAGAAAGACCAUGCAGUUUGCCACUCCAAGUUCACCGUUGCAAAUUUGGUGGGGUAAAUAACUGAACUGGUGAGCAAGAUGUGCUUGUUUGUGAAGCCAAAUACAGACAACCCAAAGUGUGGAGAAUUUGGUCGCCAUUUUUACUAUCUAUGGGAGUUUUUAUACAAUCACUCCACGGUGCAUGCAAAUACUUGUCAGGAAGGAUGCCCAAAGCUGCAAGGAUGGUGGUCAACUGGACCAUUAAGAUAACUGAAAACAUAUUGUAAACAUUCUGUAAUCAUAGGGAAUGCAUCCAUAACUUGCUGCUGACAGUUAUUAGCAUCAGGAGCAUGCAUAAUCAACAGACCCACAUUCCAACAGAGAACAUAUCAUUUAGCUUG